rnacentral:rRNA from 1 species
CACGUAGGCGGUUUGUUAAGUCGGAUGUGAAAGCCCCGGGCUCAACCUGGGAACUGCAUUCGAUACUGUCAGACUAGAGUAUAGAAGAGGCAAGUGGAAUUCCGGGUGUAGCGGUGAAAUGCGUAGAUAUCCCGAGGAACAUCAGUGGCGAAGGCGACUUGCUGGUCUAAUACUGACGCUGAGGUGCGAAAGCGUGGGGAGCAAACG